GACGAACGCUGGCGGCGUGCUUAACACAUGCAAGUCGAAGAUAGUGGCGAACGGGUGAGUAAUGCCUGGGAAUCUGCCUGGUAGUGGGGGAUAACGUCCGGAAACGGGCGCUAAUACCGCAUACUAUCAGAUGAGCCUAGGUCGGAUUAGCUAGUUGGUGGGGUAAAGGCCUACCAAGGCGACGAUCCGUAACUGGUCUGAGAGGAUGACCGGCCACAUUGGGACUGAGAUACGGCCCAGACUCCUACGGGAGGCAGCAGUGGGGGAUAGUGCACAAUGGGCGAAAGCCUGAUGCAGCGACGCCGCGUGGGGGAUGAAGGCUUUCGGGUUGUAAACCUCUUUCGCUAGCGAACGGGUAGGUGGAGAAGAAGCGCCGGCUAACUACGUGCCAGCAGCCGCGGUAAUAC
rnacentral:rRNA from 1 species